ACUCUUCUGAUAUUUGUAUGUCUUAGAUUAUGAUGUCACCACUGUGCUAGCAUAGGUUCCGACUUAUAGCGGAAAUCGCAGUUAUGCUGCCCCAUAGGAAUGGAACGAAGUAAAAAUAUGUCCAAAUCAUGUUAUUAAAUUCUAUUAUUAUUAUACUUCUGCCUAUUCCCUGCAAUGCCCGCAUUUCUCCGUAGAUGGCGUAGAAAAGGCUUAAAGCAUUUUAGGCUUUAGGGUUUUUACAUGUCGAAAUAGGCAGACAUGGGCAGCAAUGACAUGAGUUUUAGCAGUUUUGUACAAGGAUUAUGUGUAUACGGUUGACUAUUGUAGGAGGUAGACUGACUCGGCAGCAUUUCACUUGAUUUUAGCAGCAUCAGGUUCAGGGGAAGUGUUUAAUAUGUGCUUCUACACUUCAUUAAGCACAUUGAACAUUGAAUUCCAUUAUGACCUAGAUCAUUGUUUCUCAAAGACUGGGUCGUGACCCUCAGGUGGGUCGCAAGAGUUUUUUUGGGGGGGGUCGUCUUGCAUCAUGUUUCCCAGGAUUUUACGAAUAAUGUCUAUUGACUUGGGUUGGAAGGUUUGUGACUUUUAAAAUUUGGGUCCCCAGAAAAAAAAGUUUGGGAAACACUGACCUAGAUGAUCAGUAAAAGCACUGUAGACAACAUGACUGAAGAAUGGAUAUGGAUGGAUAUUUAGGCCUUCUGAGCUAGGAGGAGUUUGCCGCUAGGUGUCAAGCUAAAUCUGCCUUUUAGUUUAACAACCUCAUAUAAUUUUUAUCUCCAACUCAACAAAUCAUUUACACUUCCACUAGAUCACAUUUAAAUGAUUUAGGGAGUUUUACAUUGACUUCAUAAGUUAAAGUAGCCCACGUCAGUGUUUCUACAAUGCAGUCUUCUGCGGUGAUGUCAUUGUUUGUCAUAACAGAGUUUUCUGGUUAGCAGGGUUGUGCCGACGCACAAAAAUAGAGCAAAUCACUAUUUACCCUUUACCUAAAUAAUAAACCUCUGACAUUGUCUCAACCCUUGGGUGGCACCGAGUUAUCAAUAAACAUUGUCUGAGGUUCUUAUAGCCCGUGAGUUUAGCUUCUUAAAGUCAUGGACUAGCUGCCUUCGUUGCUGACUUUUAGCUAAUGCUUCUUUUGGGAAUGCCUGGCAUUUUCUCUGUCAAUGAACAGCCUAUAGGAAACAAAAUGACUAAAUUACGACUUGUUUAUAUUUUUAAAGCAUUAUGAAUUGGCCAUGGAAUGGCAUGCUUGUACCGUUAGCAUAGCACAGUACUUCUCAAAUAGUGGGACAGGUCCCCCCUAGGCGCGGUGAGUUACCGGGGGGGUUCUGAGGGGCUUCAAAUGGAAUAUGGAUGUAAGUGUAACACUGCUAUAAUGCAUGAAUGAUAACAAGCCUCCAGUCACUAGGUGGCAGCAACUCAUGUACUGUUUGUACAGAUAUAUAGAAAAUAUACAUAUUAAGAGGUUCUCAAUUGUAUUUCAAUUUGCGGGGGUCUGGGUCAGGAGGGCACGUAGCGAUGUGAAAACAUGUCUGUCCCCAUGGGGGCGUGAUAGAAAAUAAUUAAGAACCACUAGCAUAGCAUAACAGCAUCAUGCUACUUCCAAAA